rnacentral:rRNA from 1 species
AGUUCGUGGAGGARCCUGCGUUCGAUUAGCUAGUUGGUGGCCUACUGGCCUAGGAAGGCGAUGAUCGAUAGCUGGUCUGAGAGGAUGAUCAGCCACACUGGGACUGAGACACGGCCCAGACUCCUACGGGAGGCAGCAGUGGCCAAUAUUGGACAAUGGGCGCGGGCCUGAUCCAGCAAUGCCGCGUGUGUGAAGCCGGUUUUCGGAUUGUAAAGCACUUUCAGCCAGGACGAUGAUGACGGUACCCGCAGAAGAAGCCCCGGCUAACUUCGUACCAGCAGCCGCGGUAAUACGAAGGGGGCAAGCGUUGCUCCGAAUGACUGGACGUAUUGGGCGCGUAGGCGGUUGACNCAGUCAGAUGUGAAAUUCCUGGGCUUAACCUGGGGGCUGCAUUUGAUACGUGGCGACUAGAGUGUGAGAGAGAAUUGUGGAAUUCCCAGUGUAGAGGUGAGGUUCGUAG